rnacentral:rRNA from 1 species
GUAAGUUACUAAGGGCGCACAGGGGAUGCCCUGGCUCUUGGGGGCGACGAAGGACGUGAUAAGCUGCGACAAGCCCCGGGGAGGUGCAAAUAACCUUCGAUCCGGGGAUUUCCGAAUGGGGCAACCCACCAUGCAGAGAUGCAUGGUACCCACGAAUGUGGGGGCACACGCGGGGAACUGAAACAUCUAAGUACCCGCAGGAAGAGAAAAUAACAAUGAUUUCCCAAGUAGCGGCGAGCGAACGGGAAGGAGCCUAAACCGGGGGCGUCGAGGCGCGCCCGGGGUUGUAGGACUCCGACGUCCCGAAACCAUGCGAACGGAAACGGCCUGGGAAGGCCGGCCGCAGAGGGUGAAAGCCCCGUACCGGCAAGCAUGGUUAGGGUAGGAGGAUCCUGAGUAGGGCGGGACCGGAGAAAUCCUGUCUGAAUCGGGCGGCACCAUCCGCCAAGGCUAAAUACCACCAAGAGACCGAUAGCGAACAAGUACUGUGAAGGAAAGGUGAAAAGAACCCCGAACAGGGGAGUGAAAUAGAACCUGAAACUGUGCGCCUACAAGCGGUCGGAGCCACUUUAAGUGGUGACGGCGUGCCUUUUGCAUAAUGAGCCUACGAGUUGCCGGGUCCGGCGAGGCUAAGCCCUUCAGGGGCGGAGCCGAAGCGAAAGCGAGUCUGAAUAGGGCGUUGAGUCGGGCCAGGCAGACGCGAAACUUAGUGAUCUACGCAUGUCCAGGCUGAAGUCGCGCUAAACCGCGAUGGAGGGCCGAACCGGUAAGCGUUAAAAAGCUUUCGGACGAGGUGUGCGUAGGGGUGAAAGGCUAAUCAAACUGAGAGAUAGCUCGUACUCUCCGAAAUGCCUUUAGGGGCAGCCUUGCGGUAGCGUCGCAGAGGUAAAGCUACUGAUUGGAUGCGGGGGUUUCACCGCCUACCAAAUCCUGACAAACUCUGAAUACUGCGACGUGUUCCGCUGGAGUGAGGCCGUGGGUGCUAACGUCCGCGGCCGAGAGGGGAACAACCCAGACCAUCGGUUAAGGUCCCGAAAUCCGCGCUAAGUUGAACUAACGAUGUCGCGCCGCACAGACAGCUAGGAUGUUGGCUUGGAAGCAGCCAUUCAUUUAAAGAGUGCGUAACAGCUCACUAGUCGAGUGGCGUGGCGUGGAUAAUAAUCGGGCAUGAAGCGCGGUACCGAAACCGUGGGACAGAGAUGUCGGUAGGAGAGCAUUGCAGCGGCGACGAAGGCGCACCGCGAGGUGUGCUGGAGCUUCUGGAAGAGCAAAUGUAGGCAUAAGUAACGAUAAUGCGGGUGGGAAACCCGCACACCGAAAGACCAAGGAUUCCCGGUCAACGCUAAUCGGACCGGGGUUAGUCGGGGCCUAAGGCUAAACCUGUAUAAUGGGCGACGCCGAUGGACAGCCGGUUAAUAUUCCGGCACCCGCAGCACGAGCGAAGCAUGGACGCAGGAGUGACAGGCCCGCGCGCUGACGGAAUAGCGCGUUGAAGGGCGUAGCCCAAGUCCGGGGAGGCAAAUCCCCCCGGUCGGGCGAACCUGACAGUACCGCGAGCCUCCGGGCGAGCGGACAGCGGCCGUAACCAGACUGCCGAGAAAAAGUGCUAAGCAUAUCGUGGUGCGGCCCGUACUGCAAACCGACACAGGUGGUCGAGAAGAGAAUUCUAAGGUGCUCGAGUGAUUCAUGGCUAAGGAACUAGGCAAAAUCGCCCUGUAACUUCGGGAGAAAGGGCCCCGCGCGAGCGGGCGCAGAGAAUCGGCCCAGGCGACUGUUUAACAAAAACACAUGGCUUUGCGAAUUGGAAACAAGAGGUAUAAGGCCUGACACCUGCCCGGUGCCGGAAGGUUAAGAGGAGACGUCAUCGCAAGAGAAGCGUUGAAUUGAAGCCCCGGUAAACGGCGGCCGUAACUAUAACGGUCCUAAGGUAGCGAAAUUCCUUGUCGGGUAAGUUCCGACCUG